rnacentral:rRNA from 1 species
GACAGGUGGUGCAUGGUUGUCGUCAGCUCGUGUCGUGAGAUGUUGGGUUAAGUCCCGCAACGAGCGCAACCCUUAUCCUUAGUAGCCAGCAUGUUGAGGUGGGCACUCUAGGGAGACUGCCAGGGAUAACCUGGAGGAAGGCGGGGAUGACGUCAAAUCAUCAUGCCCCUUAUGAUUUGGGCUACACACGUGCUACAAUGGCGUAAACAAAGGGAGGCGAAGGAGCGAUCCGGAGCGAACCCCAAAAAUAACGUCUCAGUUCGGAUUGUAGUCUGCAACCCGACUACAUGAAGCUGGAAUCGCUAGUAAUCGCGGAUCAGAAUGCCGCGGUGAAUACGUUCCCGGGUCUUGUACACACCGCCCGUCACACCAUGGGAGUCGAUAACGCCCGAAGUCAGUGACCCAACCGAGAGGAGGGAGCUGCCGAAGGCGGGAUUGAUAACUGGGGUGAAGUCGUAACAAGGUAGCCGUAUCGGAAGGUGCGGCUGGAUCACCUCCUU